GCGGGGGCGGGGUGCUAUACAUGCAAGUCGAGCGGACAGAAGGGAGCUUGCUCCCGGAUGUUAGCGGCGGACGGGUGAGUAACACGUGGGUAACCUGCCUGUAAGACUGGGAUAACUCCGGGAAACCGGAGCUAAUACCGGAUAGUUCCUUGAACCGCAUGGUUCAAGGAUGAAAGACGGUUUCGGCUGUCACUUACAGAUGGACCCGCGGCGCAUUAGCUAGUUGGUGAGGUAACGGCUCACCAAGGCGACGAUGCGUAGCCGACCUGAGAGGGUGAUCGGCCACACUGGGACUGAGACACGGCCCAGACUCCUACGGGAGGCAGCAGUAGGGAAUCUUCCGCAAUGGACGAAAGUCUGACGGAGCAACGCCGCGUGAGUGAUGAAGGUUUUCGGAUCGUAAAGCUCUGUUGUUAGGGAAGAACAAGUGCAAGAGUAACUGCUUGCACCUUGACGGUACCUAACCAGAAAGCCACGGCUAACUACGUGCCAGCAGCCGCGGUAAUACGUAGGUGGCAAGCGUUGUCCGGAAUUAUUGGGCGUAAAGGGCUCGCAGGCGGUUUCUUAAGUCUGAUGUGAAAGCCCCCGGCUCAACCGGGGAGGGUCAUUGGAAACUGGGAAACUUGAGUGCAGAAGAGGAGAGUGGAAUUCCACGUGUAGCGGUGAAAUGCGUAGAGAUGUGGAGGAACACCAGUGGCGAAGGCGACUCUCUGGUCUGUAACUGACGCUGAGGAGCGAAAGCGUGGGGAGCGAACAGGAUUAGAUACCCUGGUAGUCCACGCCGUAAACGAUGAGUGCUAAGUGUUAGGGGGUUUCCGCCCCUUAGUGCUGCAGCUAACGCAUUAAGCACUCCGCCUGGGGAGUACGGUCGCAAGACUGAAACUCAAAGGAAUUGACGGGGGCCCGCACAAGCGGUGGAGCAUGUGGUUUAAUUCGAAGCAACGCGAAGAACCUUACCAGGUCUUGACAUCCUCUGACAACCCUAGAGAUAGGGCUUUCCCUUCGGGGACAGAGUGACAGUGGUGGCAUGGUUGUCGUCAGCUCGUGUCGUGAAAUGUGUUGGGUAGUCCCGCACGAGCGCACCCUUGAUCUAGUGCCAGCAUUCAGUGGGCACUCUAA
rnacentral:rRNA from 1 species